rnacentral:rRNA from 1 species
UACGAAGGGGGCUAGCGUUGCUCGGAUUGACUGGGCGUAAAGGGCGCGUAGGCGGUUUGCAUAGUCAGACGUGAAAUUCCUGGGCUUAACCUGGGGGCUGCGUUUUGAUACAUGCAGGCUUGAGUUCGGAAGAGGGUCGUGGAAUUCCCAGUGUAGAGGUGAAAUUCGUAGAUAUUGGGAAGAACACCGGUGGCGAAGGCGGCGACCUGGUCCGAUACUGACGCUGAGGCGCGAAAAGCGUGGGGGAG